rnacentral:rRNA from 1 species
CCUACGGGAGGCAGCAGUGGGGAAUUUUGGACAAUGGGGGCAACCCUGAUCCAGCCAUUCCGCGUGAGUGAAGAAGGCCUUCGGGUUGUAAAGCUCUUUCGCAAGGGAAGAAAACUUAUGAUCGAAUAAAUCAUGAGGUUGACGGUACCUUGAUAAGAAGCACCGGCUAACUACGUGCCAGCAGCCGCGGUAAUACGUAGGGUGCGAGCGUUAAUCGGAAUUACUGGGCGUAAAGCGUGCGCAGGCGGUUUUGUAAGUCGGAUGUGAAAUCCCCGGGCUCAACCUGGGAACUGCGUUCGAAACUGCAAGGCUAGAGUGUGUCAGAGGGGGGUUAGAAUUCCACGUGUAGCAGUGAAAUGCGUAGAGAUGUGGAGGAAUACCAAUGGCGAAGGCAGCCCCCUGGGAUAACACUGACGCUCAUGCACGAAAGCGUGGGGAGCAAACAGGAUUAGAUACCCUGGUAGUCCACGCCCUAAACGAUGUCAACUAGUUGUUGGUAGAGUAAAAUCUAUGAGUAACGUAGCUAACGCGUGAAGUUGACCGCCUGGGGAUACGGUGCAAGNUUAAAACUCAAAUGAUAGAGNGNGAGAGNGCGAGACGACGACGAGGAGAGG